rnacentral:rRNA from 1 species
AACGGGGGGGGCAAGCGUUGUUCGGAAUUACUGGGCGUAAAGGGCGCGUAGGCGGUUCGCUAAGUUGAAUGUGAAAACUCUGGGCUUAACCCAGAGCCUGCAUUCAAUACUGGCGGGCUAGAGUUCUGGAGGGGAUAGCGGAAUUCCUGGUGUAGCGGUGAAAUGCGUAGAUAUCAGGAGGAACACCGGUGGCGAAGGCGGCUAUCUGGACAGAGUCUGACGCUGAGGCGCGAAAGCUAGGGGAGCAAACAGG